rnacentral:rRNA from 1 species
GACCUAUCCCUGGAGGAAGCACGGGCUAAGUUCGUGCCAGCAGCCGCGGUAAGACGAACCGUGCGAACGUUGUUCGGAAUCACUGGGCUUAAAGGGCGCGUAGGCGGGUCAUCAAGUCAGGGGUGAAAUCUUUCGGCUUAACCGGAAAACAGCCUCUGAUACUGGUGGUCUGGAGGGAGGUAGGGGCAGAUGGAACUUCCGGUGGAGCGGUGAAAUGUGUUGAUAUCGGAAGGAACGCCGGUGGCGAAAGCGAUCUGCUGGACCUCUUCUGACGCUGAGGCGCGAAAGCUAGGGUAGCGAACGGGAUUAGAUACCCCGGUAGUCCUAGCCCUAAACGAUGGGUACUAGAUAGUGGACUUGACAUGGGUUCACUGUCGAAGCAAAAGUCUUAAGUACCCCGCCUGGGGAGUAUGGUCGCAAGGCUGAAACUCAAA